CCGUAUUUCCCCCCUUACAUCAAAUAUUAGUCCAAAACCCUUAUUUCCUUUUCCCCCAAAUUCACAGAGGUCUCUUUUCCCCUUCACCUUCAACCAUCGACUCUUUUUCCCCUUCACCUUCAACCAUCGAUUCUUCAAUACCUGGUCCAUCGACAUCCUCAAUAAGUUUCACUACAAGCUAUUCGACUCCCUCAUUCUUUUCAGCUUUGGUUUGCUCCAUUCCCAGUUAGGCUUUGCUCGAAAAAGUAGUUUGUUGAAGUGAAUAGCAUCAUCCCUUCUUAAUUUUUCCCUGCCCUUUCUAUUGGAUCCUUCAACUAAAGCUCAAAAAUCUUCAAGGAUAUAUGGGAUAGCUGGAAUGCACAUUGGUCCUCCGAGAAGUGGCUUGACAAAUCUCGUACUGCUGCUCAGAACCGGUGCAGCGAGACUGGUGGUCCGGGUACUGGUCCUAGCAAGCAUACCGGUGGUUCUAGGUCUACAGUGGAGCAUACUAGAGACUUGUAAAACUAUGUCGUUCACCAAAUUCGUGGGAUAUAUUCAAGAAGCUACAUCAAAGAAAGGAUGGCAACUUUGUUGAUGCUAAAUCUACUAGCGUUCAAGAAAAAAUGGAGAUUGUGGUGGCUGAUGCUAAUUCAAACCUGUCAGAUGAUACAGAAGAAGUCGAUGUGAAUAGCCUGUACUUUGAGGUUGUGGGUGGAGAAAAGAAACGGCGUGUGUAUGGUUUAGGAUCUCAAUCUUUGACUUUGUAUCCAGACUCCAACUCUACCACUUCACGCACUUUUCAUCCGAUACCGGAUGCUGCUGAAGAACGCAUUAAAGUUCUUGUGGUGGAGGUGUUGCGUAUGAGAGAAACUCAAGAGAGGAUUCUUCAACAACGGUUAGAGGAAGAGAUGCAGCAACACAUCGAGCAAGAGGUGCAGCAACGAGUCGAGCAAGAGGUGCAGCAACGCGUCGAGCAAGAGGUUGCACUUUUGAGGCAACAAAGUGACGAUCGAUUUCGUUCUAUAGAGGAGCAUGAAGAGCGAGAUGGCAUUAUCAUCUCGCCCAUUUGUUGGUCUUAGUUGAUGCUUAACUGUUGAAUAUUAUAAAACUUUUGUUAACCGAUUUAAGUGUAAUGUUGCUAACUUUUGUUAGCUGAAUAUAUGAAGUUUUCAUAUUUAACUUCAAACUUUUGGAUAAUAUAUUUAACGUUAUGUUUGUUAUA